rnacentral:rRNA from 1 species
AACCUGGUUGAUCCUGCCAGUAGUCAUACGCUUGUCUUAAAGAUUAAGCCAUGCAUGUCUAAGUGCGGUGUACUCUGACACACCAGACUGCGGACGGCUCAUUAUAACAGUUAUAGUUUAUUUGAUGGUUUCAAUUACGUGGAUAACCGUAGUAAUUCUAGAGCUAAUACAUGCUAAAUACCCUGGCUUUGCUGUCGGGGUGCAUUUAUUAGAUGUCGAACCCAAUGCGCUCCGGCGCUUAUUGAGGACUCAUAAUAACUCUCGCAGAUCGCACAUUGUGCGGCGUAUCAUUCAAGUUUCUGACCUAUCAGUUAGUCGGUAGUGUAUUGGACUACUGAGGCUCUGACGGGUAACGGAGAAUUAGGGUUCGAUUCCGGAGAGGGAGCCUGAGAAACGGCUACCACAUCUAAGGAAGGCAGCAGGCGCGUAACUUACCCAAUCCUGAUUCAGGGAGGUAGUGACAAGAAAUCACAAUAUUUCGCCCAAUUGGGCAAAAUAAUUGUAUUGAGAACAGGCUAAACAUGUUAACGAUAAACCAUUGGAGGGCAAGUCUGGUGCCAGCAGCCGCGGUAAUUCCAGCUCCAAUAGCGUAUACUAACGUUGUUGCAGUUAAAAAGCUUCGUAGUUGGGAUUUUUAGAAGCGUGUAAGCGUAGUAACCUUUCGUGUCUCUUAACGUGAGCACCGCUUUUAUUUUGUUCCGGCGUUUGGUUGGCAUUAGCUUGCCGAUCUAAUUGUUGGAGCGUGUUUACUUUGAGAAAAUUAGAGUGUUCAAAACAGUCAUACGAUUGUAUAUCAUAGCAUGGAAUAAUAACUGAUGACCUCGGUCCUCUUUUGUUGGAUUCAGAUGGCUGAUGUAAUGAUUGAUAGGGUUAGUCGGAGGUAUUAGUAUUCUGUCGUUAGAGGUGAAAUUCAUGGAUCGGCAGAAGACUGACAACUGCGAAAGCAUUUAUCUAGGAUUUGCUCUUUGAUCAAGAACGAAAGUUGGGGGAUCGAAGACGAUCAGAUACCGUCGUAGUCUCAACUAUAAACUAUACCAGCUAGGGAUUGGCGAGCGUUUGACUUGACCUUGUCAGAACCUUAUGAGAAAUCAAAGUAUUUGGGUUCCGGGGGGAGUAUGGUCGCAAGGCUGAACUUAAAGGAAUUGACGGAAGGGCACCACAAGUUGUGGAUCCUGUGGCUUAAUUUGACUCAACACGGGAAAAACUUACCAGGUCCAGACAUAGUAAGGGAUUGACAGAUUGAUAGCUCUUUCUUUGAUUCUAUGGGGUGGUGGUGCAUGGCCGUUCUUAGUUGGUGGAGUGAUUUGUCUGGUUAAUUCCGUUAACGACGAGACUAUUACCUGCUAAAUAGUCAGCUGUUGUUUUCUCAGCGGAUUGACUUCUUAGAGGGACUAGCCAUCUGUUAAGCGGCUGGAAGUUAGUAGCAAUAACAGGUCUGUGAUGCCCUUAGAUGUUCUGGGCCGCGCACGGGCUACACUGACGGAGUAAAUGAGCACUACAAACAUGGUCCGAGAGGACUGUGCAAUCUUGAAACUCCGUCGUGGUUGGAAUCGGCAAUUGUAAUUGUUUGCCGUGAACGAGGAAUACCUAGUAAGCGUGCAUCAUUAAUGCACAGUGAAUACGUCCCUGCCCUUUGUACACACCGCCCGUCGCUCCUACCGAUUGGAUGAGCUGGUGAGUUGAUCGGACGAGCGGCGUAACCGGGCCUUCGGGUUCGGCACGUCGUUUGGAAACUCUGCAAACUAGACUAUCUAGAGGAAGGAGAAGUCGUAACAAGGUUUCCGUAGGUGAACCUGCAGAAGGAUC